ACAUUAAUGAGGAGUCCCAUAAUAGGACGAAACGGCCGUCCAGUGC
rfam:Schistosoma rodhaini strain Burundi genome assembly, scaffold: SROB_scaffold0008731